UACGGGGGAUGCAAGCGUUAUCCGGAUUUAUUGGGUUUAAAGGGUGCGUAGGCUGUGAGGUAAGUCAGCGGUGAAAUGCCCCCGCUCAACGGGGUGAAGUGCCAUUGAUACUGCCUUGCUGGAAUGCGGAUGCCGUGGGAGGAAUGUGUGGUGUAGCGGUGAAAUGCAUAGAUAUCACACAGGACACCGAUUGCGAAGGCAUCUCACGAAUCCGCGAUUGACGCUGAUGCACGAAAGCGUGGGUAUCAAACAGG
rnacentral:rRNA from 1 species